rnacentral:rRNA from 1 species
UGGGGAAUAUUGCACAAUGGGCGCAAGCCUGAUGCAGCCAUGCCGCGUGUAUGAAGAAGGCCUUCGGGUUGUAAAGUACUUUCAGCGAGGAGGAAGGCGUUGUGGUUAAUAACCGCAGCGAUUGACGUUACUCGCAGAAGAAGCACCGGCUAACUCCGUGCCAGCAGCCGCGGUAAUACGGAGGGGGCAAGCGUUAAUCGGAAUUACUGGGUGUAAAGCGCACGCAGGCGGUCUGUCAAGUCGGAUGUGAAAGCCCCGGGCUCAACCUGGGAACUGCAUCCGAAACUGGCAGGCUAGAGUCUUGUAGAGGGGGGUAGAAUUCCAGGUGUAGCGGUGAAAUGCGUAGAGAUCUGGAGGAAUACCGGUGGCGAAGGCGGCCCCCUGGACAAAGACUGACGCUCAGGUGCGAAAGCGUGGGGAGCAAACA